UGCCGCUAGAGUUGAAAUUCUUGGACUGGCGCAAGAUGGAUGAAAACAAAAGCAUUUGCCAAGAAUGUUUUCAUUAAUCAAGAAUAAAAGUCGGAGGUUCGAAGACGAUCAGAUACCGUCGUAGUUCCGACUAUAAAUGAUGCCAACUAGCGAUCCAGCGGUUGUUCAUUCCCAGCUGACCCCUCGCUGCAAGCCGUUUUGGGGAA